rnacentral:lncRNA from 1 species
AUUCUAAAUAAUACUGUUAAUAUAACCUAGACUAAUCAGGUAGUUAACUGGAAUGUGAUGAAAACAUUUAAGGCUUAAUUUUUUAGACUUACAAAAGCCACUGAUCUUUAAUGAUAAACAUAUACCAGGAUGUGUCUAAAGAAUAACUCCCCCCUUCUUGACACAUGGCUUUUCUGUGUCUUGGCAUUCCAUCGCAGUACUGAGCAUCCUGAACGUUGCUUUGUUUGUCUCUGUUGGGAGUCACAGGUUGCAUCCAGUCUGACCCAGGUUUGCUCUGUAAGGCAUUGUGGGGGCCAGAGUGGAAGGCUCUAAGAGAGGGGGCAAAUGUCUUUUCUAAAAUGCCCUUCGUUCUUAUAAUUAGAGCAUAAAAAUUAAUGUUACAUUUUUCUCUACUACCAGUGUAAUUUAAAAGCAUCUAUCAAUUCUCUGUACGUGCUUCAUGUUAGAUUUCUGGUCAUAUGUUUGAUUUUCUUUUUAGAAUAGUCUUGAUUUCAGAUAAUUUCAAAUCUAAAGCUCAAACAAUUUCAAUCUAAAAUGUAGGUUUUUCUUACAGUUAGAGAAGUGAAAUGUUAUAUUUUUUCGUUGCAUGCAUCGGGCACAUGUGUUGUAGUCUUGAAUUUCCAUAAUGCUCCUGUGAGGUGGAUGUGAGCUCAGCCUUACAGACAGGAAGACAGCCUCUGACCCUCCUUACAUCCUCGUGGUUUUUGUCAGUCAGUUCAUGGAAAUCACAGUGAUUUCAAGGUGUGGUAAGACAGGAUGUGUACCCAGGCCCAGCUGACUCCAGAGGCCACUCUCCGUAUUUCAUAGCACAUUGCUUCUCAGGAAACAGGUCAUUGAGGAAAUGAAGAUGGGUUUGUGAUUACAUUUAAUUUUAUUUAUUUAUAUUUUAUUGUAUCAUGUGUAAAUUAUUUUACAUCUGGAUAUCAUCACAAAAGUGUUAUUGAAGGCAACAAUUGCAAGUAUAUGUGCAGUGCUUUGCACUUAUACAAAGAUACAAAGAUACACAAAGAUUGAGUUUUUCACUAUUUAAAGCAAUUUUCAGAUGAAAUACAAAGUUUUCUGGGUCUCUUUGUUUAGUCAAGUACUUGGAAGCUCUGAACAGUGAUUAUUUAGGACUCUUUUCAUACCAUUUAAUUGCAGGCUCUCCUAAUCUCUGUCAGACCUUCACCUUUAUGACCUUGCCUUAUCUACCAGAACACAGAUCCCUCUUACUAAAGAUUAGAUCCUGUGCUGAAAGAGAAACCAAGAAAAAAGAUGACAUUCCAGAAGAAGACAAAGGAAAUAUAAAACAAUGUGAAAUCAAUUACGUGUGUGUAUGCUUUUCCUUUUAGACCUACAGAUUUGACAGUGAAGUGCUUCUCAAAGUGCUUUCAAAAUAAAUUACCUAAUUAGCUGGGGAUGGUGGUGCAUGCCUGUAGGCCCAGCUACUUGGGAGGCUGAGACAGGAGGAUUGUUUGAGCCCAGGAGUUCAAGGCUGCAGUGAGCUCUGAUCACCACUGCAUUCCAGCCUGGGUGACAGAGCAAGAUCCCGUCUGAAAAAAUAAAAACUGAUGGACAAGAAGAAGCAACACGAUGUAGCCUCUAGGACAGAGCACUGAGCUAAAUUCUUUUCUUUUCUUGAGGGUUCAGUUUUCCUAAUCAUCCUACCAGCUCCCAAAGGUACUCAGUCGGGUUAGUCAACCUCUCUAUUCAUUCAUAGAAUGGGCGUGAUGCCAGUCAAAGGCUGUUCUCUGGCUAGGACACAGGGGACUCCAGCCAGCAUGCCCUAAUAGAAGUGGGGCUUUGUGCUACCCAGUCAAUGAGUGGCCCUCCUCUUGAGAGGUCACAAAGUUCAUCUUGUUGUUCAAAAGCUCCAGCUUAUUAAAAAAAAUGUACAAUUAGACUUUUUUUUUUUCUCCCCCAAGACGGAGUCUCGCUCUGUCCCCCAGAUUGUAGUGCUGUGCCAUGAUCUCAGCUCAUCGCAACCUCCGCCUCCCAGGUUCAUGUGAUUCUCCUGCCUCAGCCUCCCGAGUAGCUGGGACUACAGGCACAAGCCACUGCCCUCGGCCAAUUUUUGUAUUUUUAGUAGAGACGGGGUUUCACCAUGUUGGCCAGGCUGUUCUCGAACUCCUGACCUCAAGUGAUCUGCCUGCCUUGGCCUCCCAAAGUGCUGGGAUUGCAGGCGUGAGCCACUGCGCCUGCCCUACAAUUAGACUUUUUUAAUAAGUGAAAAAGAAAUUAACAGUAUUUAUAAAUUUAAUAGUAAAUAUGUAUAAUCAGAGUUUGAGGUAUUUUUCAAUGAAGACAUUUUCUUUGCAGAAAGAAAUUUCAGAGCUUCCAAGACCACAAACUUAAAAUAAGUAAAGAAGAGAGUAAAAUUCUUAAAAAGGCUCAGAAAGAUGGAUUUUUGCAUGAAACGCUUCUGGACAGGUAGCUAUUUACUUAUUUUCACUAUUUUUCAGUAGCCAAUAGAAAUGGCAUGUAGAAAAGCUAUAUUCUCUUAAAUUACUGUAGUUUUCACAUUUUUGUCUUUAUUUAUAAUUUAUGAGUGUGGCAAUAUUACCUAGAGAGGACAUCAUGAGUUUGGGAAAAGACUGUCAAGAAAGAAUAUCUAAAAAUUAUAACCGAUUCUAAGUAUAUACUUUAAGAAAUUCAGGUUUGACUGUAUCUACUUCAUAAAUUUAUCAUUAUCUUUUUAUAACUAUUAGAACCAGAGUUAGAAAGAAGCAGUUUGACUAAUACAAAAAUUAUGUGGAUUCUGUUAGAGUAGUUCAGGUUCCUUAAAAUAAGCAUAUAUCAACUAAAAAACUAAGUAUAAAAGCUAAAUAAGUGAAAUUGAAGCAGUUUUAUUGUAAGAUUUGGAAGAGUGCAGGAUGUUUAUCAUAGCACAUUAUUAAUAUUUAUUAUUCUUCCUAUGUAGAUAAGUGAUGGCCUAGAUUUACAACAUAGAAAAACAGGUAGAGACGUUUAGCUGUGAGUGUACAAGCAUAAAUCAGUUAAGUGCCAGAUGUUGAUAAUCACCAGCUGCUCAUUCAAGUCCUAUGUUGCAAAGUUACUCUUACCCUUUUUUUACAUUACUUGAUAAAGGCAAUGUUUAAUUAUGUAUUUCCUGUUAACUAGCUGGUAGAGUUCAUACCUAAAGUCAGUAAAUAAUGUUAAGAAUUUUUUCCAGCUGAGCAAAUGAAUAUGUGUCUAGUUGUAAGAAAUCAAGAAGAGGAUAUAAAAUAUAAUCAGGAUAUGGACUCUAAAACGGAAUAAGCUCUGUGUCCUGUAACUUUUUUCACUUGUAAUAAUACAGCAUUCUCACCCUGUUAAAUGGAAAUUUAGAGCACCCUUAAAUUCCAGAAUAAUUAAAAUUGCUAUUUGGAUUGAAAAGCCCUUAGGCAACAUUUAUUGAAUAUUAGGAAAUAACUUUUAUAAGAUUAGAAUCCAUUUUUUAUGGAAACCCAAUUUAAAAGUAUACAUGUUUUAAUAUAAGUGUUGUGGUAAUACAAUAACCAAAAUUGAACACACAGUUUUAAAGCUUUUUAUAUUUAGUAGCAGUUGAAUAUAUAUGGCAUGUUUUACAUAGAUUAAUUUUACUAUUUUUCUUUAUUUAAAAAAGAGAACCAAAUUGAAAGCCGACAGAUACUGCAGAUGACUGGGAUUUUUGUUUCUGUCUUACCUUUUUGUGUUUUUUUUCUGAAUAAAAUAUUCAGAGGAAAUGCUUUUACAGAGUUCUUGAGUUGUUGUGAAAUUAUUGUUUAGCUAGUAGCUAGUAUAACCAGGAUUAAACAAGUUUAAUCAGGAUUCUUCAUGGAUGUACUUUUUAG